rnacentral:rRNA from 1 species
AUGCUCGACAUCACCAUAUGUUGUCAUGAAAUUCUCUUAAUUGGCCUUGCAUUUAAUGAAAUCCAGGAUAAUGUCAUGAACUUUGCAUGUCUCCACCUGGCCAUACUCUACAUCAUGUGCUUGAAUCAAGCUUCUGUUGAUGAAACCAUAAAAAUAACUCUCCCCUACUUCGUAUGCACUCCGAUGUGGUUCUUCAUGGAUGAAUCCUUCCGAGAUCCAUUUAUGUAUCAGUUUUCUCUUCUUGAUGAUAUGAUCUUCUGGGAAUGCACUGAAGUACAACAAACAAGUUCUCAUAGGGUGAGGAAAAUCAAAAUAACUCAGAGAUAA